rnacentral:snRNA from 1 species
AUCGCUUCUCGGCCUUUUGGCUAAGAUCAAGUGUAGUAACACUUCAAUCUUGUGUCACUGAUACUGAAACUAUUUAGCAACACUCUGAGAAAUACAAAAGAGGUACUUCUCGUAUUUACCAAGA